rnacentral:rRNA from 1 species
CCUACGGGUGGCAGCAGUGGGGGAUAUUGCACAAUGGGGGAAACCCUGAUGCAGCGACGCCGCGUGGGUGAAGAAGUAUUUCGGUAUGUAAAGCCCUAUCAGCAGGGAAGAAAGAAGACGGUACCUGACUAAGAAGCCCCGGCUAACUACGUGCCAGCAGCCGCGGUAAUACGUAGGGGGCGAGCGUUAUCCGGAUUCACUGGGUGUAAAGGGAGCGUAGACGGCCGUGCAAGCCAGGAGUGAAAGCCCGGGGCCCAACCCCGGGACUGCUCUUGGAACUGUGCGGCUGGAGUGCGGGAGGGGCAGGCGGAAUUCCUGGUGUAGCGGUGAAAUGCGUAGAUAUCAGGAGGAACACCGGCGGCGAAGGCGGCCUGCUGGACCGCGACUGACGUUGAGGCUCGAAAGCGUGGGGAGCGAACAGGGUUAGAUACCCGUGUAGUC